GACGAACGCUGGCGGCGUGCUUAACACAUGCAAGUCGAGGGCGCUUCGGGGGCGAACCCUGGAGUGACCGGCGAACGGGUGCGUAACACGUGAGCGACCUUGCCUCGUGGUGGGGAGUAGCCGGCCCGAACGGCCGGGUAAUACCGCAUAGGGUGCUGACUCCGCAUGGAGACGGCAGCAAAGCCCUGGAGCAAUCCAGUGGCGCCACAGGGGAGGCUCGCGGCCUAUCAGCUAGUUGGCGAGGUAACGGCUCACCAAGGCGACGACGGGUAGCUGGUCUGAGAGGAUGGCCAGCCACAUUGGGACUGAGGAGACGGCCCAGACUCCUACGGGAGGCAGCAGU
rnacentral:rRNA from 1 species